rnacentral:rRNA from 1 species
GCAUAUCAAUAAGCGGAGGAAAAGAAACCAACAGGGAUUGCCCUAGUAACGGCGAGUGAAGCGGCAACAGCUCAAAUUUGAAAUCUGGCGUCUUUGGCGUCCGAGUUGUAAUUUGCAGAGGGCGCUUUGGCAUUGGCAGCGGUCCAAGUUCCUUGGAACAGGACGUCACAGAGGGUGAGAAUCCCGUACGUGGUCGCUAGCCUUUACCGUGUAAAGCCCCUUCGACGAGUCGAGUUGUUUGGGAAUGCAGCUCUAAAUGGGAGGUAAAUUUCUUCUAAAGCUAAAUACUGGCCAGAGACCGAUAGCGCACAAGUAGAGUGAUCGAAAGAUGAAAAGCACUUUGGAAAGAGAGUUAAAAAGCACGUGAAAUUGUUGAAAGGGAAGCGCUUGCAGCCAGACUUGCCUGUAGUUGCUCAUCCGGGUUUUUACCCGGUGCACUCUUCUAUAGGCAGGCCAGCAUCAGUUUGGGCGGUUGGAUAAAGGUCUCUGUCAUGUACCUCUCUUCGGGGAGAACUUAUAGGGGAGACGACAUGCAACCAGCCUGGACUGAGGUCCGCGCAUCUGCUAGGAUGCUGGCGUAAUGGCUGUAAGCGGCCCGUCUUGAAACACGGACCAAGGAGUCUAACAUCUAUGCGAGUGUUUGGGUGUCAAGCCCGAACGCGUAAUGAAAGUGAACGGAGGUGGGAACCUUUCGGGGUGCACCAUCGACCGAUCCUGAUGUCUUCGGAUGGAUUUGAGUAAGAGCAUAGCUGUUGGGACCCGAAAGAUGGUGAACUAUGCUUGAAUAGGGUGAAGCCAGAGGAAACUCUGGUGGAGGCUCGCAGCGGUUCUGACGUGCAAAUCGAUCGUCAAAUUUGGGCAUAGGGGCGAAAGACUAAUCGAACUAUCUAGUAGCUGGUUCCUGCCGA